AUGUCGACGGGCGACAUCGCCGGCCUCGAGCACAUCAUGGACUGCUGCCUCCCGGCCUCCCCGGUCUCCCCCGCCGCCCUCCUCUCCGCUGCCACCUCCUCCUCCGACGGCGAGGACCGCAUCAGCGCGCUCCCCGACACCCUCCUGCGCAACGUCGUCUCCCGCCUCCCGGUCAAGGACGCCGCGCGCACCGGCGCGCUCUCGCGCCGCUGGCGCGGGCUCUGGCGCGCCACCCCGCUCGCCCUCGACGAUGCCCACCUCCUCCCGUCCCCCGGCCCCGCCGCCGCGUUGGUGUCCCGCGUCCUCGCCUCCCACCCGGGCCCCUUCCGCGCCGUCCGCAUCGCCGAGAUCCCCAUCGACGAGUCCAACAAGGAGGCGCUCCUCCCGGAGUGGCUCCGCCACCUCGCCGACAAGGGCGUGGAGAACCUCACCCUCGUCAACCGCCCCUACUCCUUCGACGAGCCCGUGCAGCUGCCUGCAACCCUCCUCCGCUGCGGGGCGUCGCUCCGCCGCCUCUACCUCGGCGUCUGGCUCUUCCCCUUCACCACCGGCCUCCCGCGCGGCCCCGAUGUCUUCCCCCACCUCCAGGAGCUCGGCCUCUGCCACGGCAAAACGGAGGAGAGCGACCUCGACUACGUGCUCGCCUGCAGCCCCAAGCUGGAGACCCUGGCGCUCAUCUCCAACUACUUCUACCCCGACCGCGUCCGCAUCGGCAGCCGCAGCCUCCGUUGCUUGCUGCUCUGGCAUUCCUUGGCGGACGAGGUCGCCGUCGUGGCCGCCCCAAACCUGCAGCGCCUCAUUAUCUACUGUACGCACCCCACUGAGGAUGACAGGGUCAUCAAGGUCAAGAUAGGCCAUGCUCCCAAGCUCGCCGUGCUCGGCUACUUGGACACGGCCACCCACGAGCUUGAGAUCGGCAACACCAUCAUCAAGGCUGGGGUGACAAAAGUUUGCCCAACCCCAAAUACAGUGGUUCCAAGUGUGAAGGUGUUAGCUCUGAAGGUCCGUUUCAGAGUGCCCAAAGAAAUCAGAACUUUGCUGUGUUUCUUGAGAUGCUUCCCUGGAGUAGAGACCUUACACAUCAUGGCUUCUGACAAUGACACCGACCACUACGAUGACCCGGGUGAAUUCAAGCCAAGCGACCAGCUCAAGUCCACAUUCUGGCAGGCGGUCGGUCCGAUCAAAUGCGUCAAGUCGCGCGUUCAGAAGCUGGUGUUCGACCAGUUCAACGGGGGCACAAACCAGGUUGAGUUCCUGAAGCUGGUUCUUGGGAGAGCUGUGUUGCUGCAGAAGGUGAUUGUCCUGCUGGCCGGCCUGGAUUCUAUCUCCACUCGCGGGGCCACGAGCAAGCUGCAGCCGUUUGCUUCCAAGAAAAUGUGGGCAAGCAAGGUCUGGGGCGGAACUUCCUUGGUGGUCCAUGAGCGUCCGGCAGGUCAAGUUUGGAGGACUUGUGCUGGACUGGUGAUGCCUACGACGACUACUGAUGAGGACAUGGCACCCUUGCCUCUAUCAACUACGGCGGCAGACUGA
rnacentral:rRNA from 1 species